GUGAAGGAUAAAGAGUCAAGGGUGACUUACGGAUGGUGAUGCCAAUCAGCGAGAUGGCAAGGAGUAGGAGAGGAAAGGUUUUUGAAGGGUUGGGAAUUAAGAGUUAUGUUACCUAAGUGAGAAGGUUCAGUAGACAGUUGUCUAUGUGAGUAUGGAAUGCAAGGGAGAUGUUAGGGCUAGGAAAGUGAACCUCGUGACUCCUUUAAUGUGACCGGCAGAGACCUUCACAAAUGCGGUGUUUGUGUUAGUAGGUAAGCCUGAUACU
rnacentral:lncRNA from 10 species